rnacentral:miRNA from 1 species
UAGAGCAUUCUUGUAUAAAGGA